AUUCAAACAUCUUUUUCAGUAUAUGUAUUACAGGCCUCUCACUCUGAUAUCAUCACAGCAUACAUGAGUCGGGAAUCACUUGGAGAUGUGGUCGAAUGAUAGAACUAACAGAAAGGUGUGGAGAUUCUUGUCCCACAAAAAUCAAAUAUGCUGAGGUGCGAUCAAGAGACAUACUUAGCCGAAGCCCACGUUAGUCCUCUUUUCUGUUCUUAUCAAAUCAAUCUCUCUCUCUCAUGCUUAUGACGAUGGUUGGUAUUGUUCCGAUGGAACUACAGAAUGGUAAAAACGAAGUACUUGAGGCCAAGGACACCACGGGGUGGAACCAUAUGUGAACCUGUAAGUUCUUGAAAAGCAAAGAUUCAUACCUUGUAAGUGCUCUUCUCUGUUUGAAUUUCUGCUUGAUUAGGAAAAUUAUCUAUAUAUAUUAAUCUG